rnacentral:piRNA from 1 species
GCCGUAUAGUGCCAUCGACCGCACCACC